AAAGGAAUUGAGAAGAGUUCUGUAAAAUACCGAAAAUAGGCGAAUAUUAAUAAGGGAAUUUUCCGGAAUUUUUGGAAAUUUUUCGAGAAUUUUUCGGAGCUCGUAUGGACGAGUUAACGGGGAUGAAAACGGGGCCCGAAAAAACCUGUUUAGGCUACCCCAUUUUAAAGAGGAAAUGUUUGAUUUUCUUCCUUUUUCUUUUAUUCUUUUUCUUAUUUUCUUUCGUUGUUUUCCUUCAUUCCUUUCCUUCCCGUUUGCCGCACGCCUGAAGCCCUCUCCCCUUGCCCUAACCGGCGCCGAGCGGUUUCCUCGCGAUUUAAGCUGAGCCAAUCUCUUCGUUUCCUUCUUCCUCGCGAACAAAAGUCGAGCCCCAUCUCUUCUCUUCUCCUUCUUUCUCCCUGAGCUGAAUCCUUCUUUCUACUGCCGCUAGCGACGCCACAUCGGGCCGCCACUGUGCUCUGCCAACGCCGCCAUCCGAGCCCUAGUGCCGGCCUCUUCUUUGAGCGCCGGCCACCAAGUUCGCCAAGCUACCGUUUGCCAAGUUUUUCUCUUGGCCGAUUCACCUCCACCGGUCAGCAGGUCUGACCUAGCACCGCCGAGUGUCGUUCCUCCUCAGCCCUAGCGCCGGCCUUCUCCACGCCGUGCCCUAGGAUCUCCACAGUCGACCGUUUCCUUUGUUCCUCCUUCCCGAGCAGUUCACAGAGCCAUUAGUGGUUUCGAUUGAAGGGGGGGUUGGGGAUCUUUUGAGUGAAUUGGAAUCCAGUUGGUGGUUGUUUAGUGAAUCCUCUUGGUUCCAGCAUCAACAGCGACCGAUCAGUAAGGACUUUGACGCGAUACGAGUAUCUCGACUACCGGUUUGGACUUUUCGAUUUGGAGGCG